rnacentral:rRNA from 1 species
UACGUAGGGGGCAAGCGUUAUCCGGAUUUACUGGGUGUAAAGGGGGCGCAGACGGCCAUGCAAGCCUGGAGUGAAAGCCCGGGGCCCAACCCCGGGACUGCUCUGGGAACUGUGCGGCUGGAGUGCGGGAGGGGCAGGCGGAAUUCCUGGUGUAGCGGUGAAAUGCGUAGAUAUCAGGAGGAACACCGGCGGCGAAGGCGGCCUGCUGGACCGCGACUGACGUUGAGGCUCGAAAGCGUGGGGAGCAAACAGG